rnacentral:RNase_P_RNA from 1 species
UUAGCGGGCCGGUCUGUCGCUAUGCCACAUUCGUGUGGGAGAGGAAAGUCCGGGCAACACAGAGCACCGUGCAGGUUAACGGCCUGGUGGCAGCAAUGUUACGUCACUGGUACAGAGACGAGUCGCCUUCGGGCGGGUGAAACGACUACACCACGGGUUGCAAACUCAUGUAAACCGACGUUUGAGGGCUGCUCGUCCGAUGUCGGAGGGUAGAGUGCGAGAGAAGGCAGCAGUAAUGUUCGCCUCGAGAUUAAUGACAGACAACGGCAAUGCCGUCACAGAACCCGGCUUACAGGCCCGCUAUUCUU